rnacentral:rRNA from 1 species
UGACCUAAACCCUCACCAGAGUAACAAUUGGAGGGCAAGUCUGGUGCCAGCAGCCGCGGUAAUUCCAGCUCCAAUAGCGUAUAUUAAACUUGUUGCAGUUAAAAAGCUCGUAGUUGAAUUUUUGCGUCACCGUGUAUCGACAUUUGUCGUUUAUCGGUUUCGCUUUUGGGAUUUAUCCCUUUUUACUUUGAGAAAAUUAGAGUGUUUCAAGCAGACUUUUGUCUUGAAUACUUCAGCAUGGAAUAAUAGAGUAGGACUUUGGUUCUAUUUUGUUGGUUUGUGAACCUUAGUAAUGGUUAAUAGGAACGGUUGGGGGCAUUCGUAUUUAACUGUCAGAGGUGAAAUUCUUAGAUUUGUUAAAGACGAACUACUGCGAAAGCAUUUGCCAAGGACGUUUUCAUUAAUCAAGAACGAAAGUUAGGGGAUCGAAGACGAUCAGAUACCGUCGUAGUCCUAACCAUAAACUAA